rnacentral:siRNA from 1 species
CCAUCAUCCUCGGUGCUAAACCUG